rnacentral:rRNA from 1 species
UACGUAGGGUGCGAGCGUUGCCCGGAUUUAUUGGGCGUAAGGGGCGCGUAGGCGGCUCGGCACGUCCGUUGUGAAAUCGCCCGGCUCAACUGGGCGGGGUCAGCGGAUACGGUCGAGCUUGAGCAAGCUAGGGGGUAAUGGAAUUCCCGGUGUAGUGGUGGAAUGCGUAGAUAUCGGGAGGAAGACCAGUGGCGAAGGCGGGUCUCUGGACAGUUCCUGACGCUGAGGCACGAAGGCCAGGGGAGCAAACGGG